AUGCACAGCUGCGGUGCGCCCCGCCGCCCGCCAGAGGCUCGGCUCGCGCGGCGCGGCCGCUGCGACUUCCUGGAGUUCUGCCUGCCGGGGGCGCGGGCGGGUGUGUGAGAGAGAAGGCGAAGGGAGCCGCGGGGUGGGAGAGGAGGGAGUCCCGGCGGGAGGGCGGGGGAGAGGCUGGCGGGAGGGGGGCUCCACGGAGCUCCAGCCAGGGCCGCGGUUCGCCUGCACGUCACGGCUACUCAAACCCAAGCACGUCCCGAAAGCGGUAUUUUCUGCGUCUGGGAGGUUUUUGCAUCCUCAGUUCCCACCGCUGGGGCUGGCGGCGACCAACUACCUGUCGCAGCCAGAGAGCUGUCAUUUCAGUACCGGGAUUCAGAAUUGAUCCAGUCCGCAGCGGAGGGGGCACAUCCCAGCUACCGAGCUGCUGAGUGUCUCUGGCUGGAACAAUAGUAUUUUUUUCUCUGCGAGGCUGCAAUUAACAUCUUAUUUGUUCUGGCUCCAUACAGGCUUUGUCAGGAUCGCGGUGCGGCGACCGACGUUGGGCUCUUGCAUUGCUUUGUGCUUGGCAAUGGAAUCAUGGUUUCGGGGUCUAAACUUUUGUUUCGUUUUGUAGUCUUAAUGUAUCUGAUUCUUUUUCAAGUUUCCCUAGUAACAGGUUUGGGGACGGGGUGGGAAGAAGCGAGAAAAGGGGUGAAGAGAAAAAACCAGAUUAUAUAGAAAGGAAAAAGGGAAAAGGGAUGUUUCCCCACCUUUUAAUCUAACUAUCUAUCUGUCUGUCUAUCUAUCAUCAUAGAUAGUCAUUUUGCCUCCUGGACAGUUGGCUGACGAAGUGUCUGAUAAACCAGCUUCAGAUACAUGCUACAAAAGGUCAUUCGCCUCCUGAUUAUGUUUCUACUUGUAAACGCAGUUGGUGGUUUGCAAAACAAGUGCUAAAAUAGUGCAGUGAUGUGGUGGGAGGAAACCAUAAUGGGUAAUUCAUAUAAAGUGCUGGAAUCUUCGUAAGGGCUACUGAGCUGGCCUGAUGAUGAUCCUUCUGAGAUAUAUUUAUAGCAGAUGAUUUGUGGAUGAUAACUACGCCAAGCAAGACACUGUCUCCAGUAACCCCAGGCUCGUCUGACUUCCUCAGGGGAUUAUAAUAAAGAAUCACAAAAAGAACCCUAUAUGGACAGUCUGGUCUCUGGACACUAACAACAGCACAAUCCAAAGGCAAAGAAAGGAGGAACCACCUUGUUUCAUGUCUGCAAGCUGCUCCAUAUGAAAGCAUUGCUGACAUGUUGACCCAACAGCAAAAAGAGAGCAGCAGUUUACACACCCUCAGCUCUCUGUCCUUUCCUUUCUAUUGAUGUUGGUCCACUUUUAUGACUGAAUACAUAUUAAAAUCACCAUUUCAAAUUAUAAUUAUCUGCUUUCAUUGGUCUCUUUCACAAGUCUAUGUCUAUAUUUAUGUUUACAUAUAUAAACACAUAUACACAUAUUUUAUACAUACAUAUGUAUAUGUAUGCACGCAUUAUUUGUAAGUACACAUACACGUGUGUGUAUAUAUAUGUAUAUGAUAUGUAUAUGUGUAUUUCAGUUGAUACACAUAUAUUUGCUUGGGAAGUUUCACUACAUUGCUUUGUAUUUCUCUUUUAUAAGGUAAUGCAUUUAAUUCCAAAACUACCACAUUAAUUGUAUAAAUUGAUUAUUACAUAAGUUUCCUUGAUGAUUUACAGAAGAACUAUUGAGAGGUCAGUGUUAGCACAUCAAAAUAUAGUCUGGUAUGGCAUUUUAAAUUGACCCAGGUAUCUAAUAUUAAAGCCUUUCAAAUUUAUCUCUCCUGCUAUUAUUUUAUUAAGAUUACUUUGGAAUGAUGAGGUUAUAAGUGUGAUUUAUUUCUGUUUCAUCUUUUUGUCUGUAUGUGCUAAGUUUAGUCCCUCCACUUUGAGAAUAACCCUAUAAUCCAGGAUCAUUGCUUAAAAUUCAGUAUCAUUUGCAGAAUUCUCAUACUCAAAUAAGAAUGUUUCUAGAAUAUGUUUACUCAAUUUUAGAAAGUAUUUUCUCUUUCCUUCUUUCUGUCAUAGUUUUUCUGAUAUUACUGUAUUACCACAUUCUAAACUCUGUGACUUGUUAUUUUCAGUAAGGCUUUAAGAAGCAUGGAUAGGUUUGUAGGUUAUUUCUUGUUAAAUAUGCCUUAAUUUUUUAGUAUUUAGUAUUAGUAUUUAGUUUUUAGUAUUUAGUAUUUAGUAUCUCCCAUAUAUAUAUAUGCACACAUAUAUAUAUACACAUAUAUAUGUACACACAUACAUAUAUACACACACAUAUAUAUACACACACAUACACAAAGCUUUGGAAUGUUAAUUAAAUGAUCAAAAUAUUACAAGAUUACAUUGUUAUGAGAACUUAUCCUUAAUAUUAGCAUAUUUACUAUAAAGUUAAACAACUUCUUCUCCUCUGUCUCCUGUUUAUUAUCAUUAUUUUAUUAUUAUUAAAAAAGGAAGUCUCUCAGAAACCAAGCUGUAUAUCCUCUAGUCUCUAUGUAAAAAAACAAAUUGGUCAUUUUCUACUUGGACAUCCCAGAAUAGAAAGUACAUUGAAGUACUAAAAAAUAAAGGGAUAGACUUGGGGUUAAGGGAGAUGUCAUAGAACAGCUAUCCUGGGUUAGUUCAAGUGUAGUCCUAUUCCAUGCUAGGCAAAGUCAAGGUUACAAAAAUCCCAGUUGCAUCAGGUUUCCAUUUUUUAUCAUUAUUUCCCUAUACAACGAUACAAGUUAAAAAAAAGUCGGUAAAUACUUUUGGCCAUCAAUUUUCAAGAUUUCAUUGGUGAUAUUAAGGAAAUGCUGUAAGUAGGUAACACAUAAUGUCAUAUUUGUGUGCUGUAGAAGUAUCUUGGAAAAUAUGGACUUUAAAACCUCAAAAUAUGGGUUUGCAAUCGAACAUACAUUCACCCCCAAAUUUGACCUUUUUCAGCUAGUUAUUUUCUCAUAUAAAGUUACUAUACUUACACCAUUAUCUUUAAUCCCUGAAAUUUCAAUUAUACUAGAAAUCAAGAUUCUUCAUUUUUACUCACGAAACUGACACUAAGUAUAUACCUCAUUAAGGACAAGAAGCUAUGAAUUCUCUGGACUUCAGUUAUCUCACAGAAAAGAGCUUGAUUGAAUAAUGUCUAAGGCUCUUCCUGACAUAGUCUAAAUAACAGAAGGUGUCUCACAAGAAAUGGAAGCAGUGAGAGAAAAAUGCAAUUAAAUCCUAGACUAGAAAGAAUCACAAUUUUCCCACUCACAGGUUGGAAAUGCCUCUCUAUUCUAUCACAAUUUUGAAAACCUCCAUAGUUUUACUAGCUUUGCCUUUCUCCCUUGCUAUCAUCUUCUGAGGUACAGACAGUCCUUUCCAUUUUUAUUCCUCUCCCACUCUGAUAAUUUUUUUCUUUGACAGAAGUCCCACUUUAUCAUUAAUGAUGACAAUAACUAAGGCUGCCAGGAACAGCACAUCUGCUGAGCUUUAUCAACACCAGAUUCUCUCAUUUUGCCUUCUGGAUCUCCAUGCUUUUUUAUACCAACAAACAAGAGGAAGAAUAUUCUCUACCCACUUCCUUGACUGAAGCCUGCUCUUUUAUGAAGACAUGGCAUCUCUUCCAACCGUGUCAAACAGAUGCAAUUUAUAUGUCUGCUGCUUCCAUACCCUGAUUAAAUGGGUCAGUGGCAGAAUCAGUAUCCUUAGUCUCCCCUUUGGUUUCAAAUAUGUACUCCUUAUUUCAGUUUCAUGCUCACCUUUCUGUAGAGACCAAGGCAUCUGCCUUUGCAGCUUUACCUCUUCCUCCAGGUUAUAGUUUCCAUUCAUGGAAUCUUUUAGCUGCUGGCUGGCAGUUUUCCUGUCUACCUGACUUCCAUUCCUCUUCUCAUGACUUCAGCUCCCAUGCAGAUGUCUUAUCCUGACAUACUAGCUUCUCCAUUCUAUUUCUGUGUGUGUGUGUCUGUGUGUUUCCCUACUAGUUCAUCCACAUUUCCCUAUG
rnacentral:lncRNA from 1 species